GGGGAUGUAGUGCAGUUGGUAGAGCGACUGCCUCACAUACACAAGGCCCUGGGUUCAAUCCCCAGCACCACCA
rnacentral:tRNA from 1 species